rnacentral:lncRNA from 1 species
GGAAAAGCAAGAUAAGGGUAGGCUAAACAGAUGUAGCCUUGACUUGUCUGAGUAAUUUCAGUAGGCUCUGGAGCACAGGGGCUGCCACUUGUUUUCUGAGACCUGGUUUUGGGAUGAGCAGGACAGAGGAAUAUUACCUCCAGGAGUGUAAGAGCCAUAUAGAGGAGGUGGUUGGGAGUGUGGGCUCCGGAUCUGUGAGCCAUGUACAGGAAAGGUGUACCCCUGGCAAGUCCUUUGCUGUCUCAGGGAAUUAGCUAGCCCUGCGAGGAUUAUCUUCUCCCUGGUCAGUGAGUCUCCAGAUGCAUCAAAAAAAUACAGAAAAUAAGGAAUAUAGUUAACAUACCAACAUUCCUACUUCUUUUUUUCUUUUUCUUUUCUUUCUUUCUUUCUUUUUUUUUUUUUUUUUUUUUAGAGAGAGAGAGAAAGAGAGAGAGGGCAUGAGUAGGGGAAGGGGCAGAGACAGAGACAGAAAGAAAUUUCAAGCAGACUCUGCUGAGCACAGAGCCCGACACAGGGCUCAAUCACAACCCAAGCUGAAAUCAAGAGUGGGAAGCUCGGCCAACUGAGCCAUCCAACUGCCCCCGCCCCAAGUUUCUCCUUCUGACUCCUCCCUCAUAGCCCCCCACUGCCUCAGACCUCAUACCUCAUUCCAGCAUCUUCCUUUCUUGAUCUGAAGCAAACUUCUGCUUCUGACACCUGCUCCAGCUGAUAUUCUCUGGCAGGUGGGGAUCCUGGGUUUCCUUCUUGACUGCCCCUGUGCAUCAGCACCAAGAGAAUGGGGCCAGAGAGUGGUGAGAGGGAGAGAUGCCUCAGGAAGCCUCCCCUGGAAGGAAGAACUGAUCCUGCCUCAAAGCCCCCCCUCACCACCCAGGCCAGAGACAAAACACAUACCGUAGAAGAGGCAUCCAGAAUGGAAACAACUGUCCAAGCCACCGCAGGAAGCUUACACCCCACGUUCCCAGGCAGAAGUGUGGAUGUUUCCAAACCUAACAGUCUUGGUCCUGAAGUCUCCGGGCUGAUGGAAUGGCUCCUGGUCUACCUUGUGCACUCGUGGAGCACUCACAUCAUACAGCCCCUUAGAGCUCACGAGGCACUUGGACCAGUGGUUACUCUCGUGUGAUCAUCACGUGCCCCACAUGAGAUGGGUCAUUUGAACUAUUCUAGGAGCGCCUGAGUGGCUCAGUCAGUUACGUGUCUGCCUUCGGCUGGGGUCCUGUUCCAGAAGCCUGGCAUUUAGGCCAAUGUGGGGCUUUCCCCUCAGUGGGGAGUCUGCUUCUCCCUCUCCCUCUGCCCCCUGCCUUGCUCGUGCUUUCUCUCUCGACUAUGGAAAAAAAAAAAAUCUUUUAAAAAAGAUAAUUAUUCUAAAGAUGGAGAAAGUGAGGCACCAGAAGCAGGAUGCAAGAAAAACCAGAGUGGAAGGCUUGAAUCCAGGUCUACUGACGUGAGCAUGCUUACUGUUUGGCAUGCUAGCCUGCCCCAGAGACUAGGAGUUACUCUGGGCAAAGGGUUCCAUCCUCUCUGGGUGUAGCCUCAUCCGUGAGCUCGGGGCUUCACCUGGUGUCU